rnacentral:sRNA from 1 species
CCACACCUCACAUCCUGUGUUUCAACUACCGAAUCCAUGUGGAGUCCCCCCAAAUACCACGCAGGAGGCACAGAACUUGAACAGACGAACCCGCCCCCUG